rnacentral:rRNA from 1 species
GCAUAUCAAAAGCGGAGGAAAAGAAACCAACAGGGAUUGCCUUAGUAACGGCGAGUGAAGCGGCAAAAGCUCAAAUUUGAAAUCUGGCACCUUCGGUGUCCGAGUUGUAAUUUGAAGAAGGUAACUUUGGAGUUGGCUCUUGUCUAUGUUCCUUGGAACAGGACGUCACAGAGGGUGAGAAUCCCGUGCGAUGAGAUGCCCAAUUCUAUGUAAAGUGCUUUCGAAGAGUCGAGUUGUUUGGGAAUGCAGCUCUAAGUGGGUGGUAAAUUCCAUCUAAAGCUAAAUAUUGGCGAGAGACCGAUAGCGAACAAGUACAGUGAUGGAAAGAUGAAAAGAACUUUGAAAAGAGAGUGAAAAAGUACGUGAAAUUGUUGAAAGGGAAGGGCUUGAGAUCAGACUUGGUAUUUUGCGAUCCUUUCCUUCUUGGUUGGGUUCCUCGCAGCUUACUGGGCCAGCAUCGGUUUGGAUGGUAGGAUAAUGACUAAGGAAUGUGGCUCUACUUCGGUGGAGUGUUAUAGCCUUGGUUGAUACUGCCUGUCUAGACCGAGGACUGCGUCUUUUGACUAGGAUGUUGGCAUAAUGAUCUUAAGCCACCCGUCUUGAAACACGG